CCUGGCUCAGGAUGAACGCUAGCUACAGGCUUAACACAUGCAAGUCGAGGGGCAGCAUGGUCUUAGCUUGCUAAGGCCGAUGGCGACCGGCGCACGGGUGAGUAACACGUAUCCAACCUGCCGUCUACUCUUGGACAGCCUUCUGAAAGGAAGAUUAAUACAAGAUGGCAUCAUGAGUCCGCAUGUUCACAUGAUUAAAGGUAUUCCGGUAGACGAUGGGGAUGCGUUCCAUUAGAUAGUAGGCGGGGUAACGGCCCACCUAGUCUUCGAUGGAUAGGGGUUCUGAGAGGAAGGUCCCCCACAUUGGAACUGAGACACGGUCCAAACUCCUACGGGAGGCAGCAGUGAGGAAUAUUGGUCAAUGGGCGAGAGCCUGAACCAGCCAAGUAGCGUGAAGGAUGACUGCCCUAUGGGUUGUAAACUUCUUUUAUAAAGGAAUAAAGUCGGGUAUGGAUACCCGUUUGCAUGUACUUUAUGAAUAAGGAUCGGCUAACUCCGUGCCAGCAGCCGCGGUAAUACGGAGGAUCCGAGCGUUAUCCGGAUUUAUUGGGUUUAAAGGGAGCGUAGAUGGAUGUUUAAGUCAGUUGUGAAAGUUUGCGGCUCAACCGUAAAAUUGCAGUUGAUACUGGAUAUCUUGAGUGCAGUUGAGGCAGGCGGAAUUCGUGGUGUAGCGGUGAAAUGCUUAGAUAUCACGAAGAACUCCGAUUGCGAAGGCAGCCUGCUAAGCUGCAACUGACAUUGAGGCUCGAAAGUGUGGGUAUCAAACAGGAUUAGAUACCCUGGUAGUCCACACGGUAAACGAUGAAUACUCGCUGUUUGCGAUAUACAGCAAGCGGCCAAGCGAAAGCGUUAAGUAUUCCACCUGGGGAGUACGCCGGCAACGGUGAAACUCAAAGGAAUUGACGGGGGCCCGCACAAGCGGAGGAACAUGUGGUUUAAUUCGAUGAUACGCGAGGAACCUUACCCGGGCUUAAAUUGCAGAUGAAUUACGGUGAAAGCCGUAAGCCGCAAGGCAUCUGUGAAGGUGCUGCAUGGUUGUCGUCAGCUCGUGCCGUGAGGUGUCGGCUUAAGUGCCAUAACGAGCGCAACCCUUGUUGUCAGUUACUAACAGGUUCCGCUGAGGACUCUGACAAGACUGCCAUCGUAAGAUGUGAGGAAGGUGGGGAUGACGUCAAAUCAGCACGGCCCUUACGUCCGGGGCUACACACGUGUUACAAUGGGGGGUACAGAGGGCCGCUACCACGCGAGUGGAUGCCAAUCCCCAAAACCUCUCUCAGUUCGGACUGGAGUCUGCAACCCGACUCCACGAAGCUGGAUUCGCUAGUAAUCGCGCAUCAGCCACGGCGCGGUGAAUACGUUCCCGGGCCU
rnacentral:rRNA from 1 species